AUUAUCCUCCCACCUCGGCUUCCCAAAGUGCUGGGAUUACAGGAUAAAGAUCCAUUACUUGGCUUUUAAAACUCUACAGGACAUAGUCCCAUGUGAAACACCAUCUUUUUAUGGGUUAUAGUAACAAAAUUGGUGCAAGCCUCGUAAGAAUGCUGACCUGAGAACCUAGUCAAGAUGGACCUUCUCCUACAAGUCUUAUCUUUGAAGUCUCCAAAGUCUUGGCGUUUUCCAGGCCAAAGACUUAAAGGCCAAGUGGACCCUAGGGGAGAUCUAGUGUCCCAUCCAGACAGCCAAGCUCAUGCAUCCCUGGAUUUGGAUGGAUGGUUUCCCAUGGGGCCUUGGACAGAUUGGACCCAGCACUGGCACAGGGUUGACUUGGAAGAAUAAGCUCCUGGAAACCUCGAUUAGUGUUUGGUGUAUGAACAUUAAACAAUACUGAAUCUGGAAACAAUACAUCACACAGCGGGUCCAAGGAAAUAAGCAGAAGGCUGGCAGCAGGCCAGGGCCAGGGGCCAAAUCGCUCCUCAAGGACAAUUCUUCAUGGAGAAAUGACAGCAGGCUUGAGGACAGCAGGGACAGCAGAGAUGGCAUUAUCCGCUUUGGUCACCUCAUCCUUAUGUCCAGUCUCAGGGAAUGUGGAGUCUCAGUAAACAUCAGGCACUCAGUGUUCUCCAGACUGCAGUGGUGGUGGAGGCAGAGAGGACUGUGUUUGGAGGAAUGGAGUUUCGCUCUUGUUGCCCAGGCUGGGCAGUGGCG